rnacentral:pre_miRNA from 1 species
AUGUGUUUAGUGUAUGGUACAGCACCAAGGACAUGUGUGUUUGCUUGUGUGUGGAUGGCAUUCAGCACCAGGGACAGGCAUAUUUACCU